rnacentral:rRNA from 1 species
UACGUAGGUGGCAAGCGUUGUCCGGAUUUACUGGGCGUAAAGAGCGCGCAGGCGGUCGUUCAAGUCGCGUGUGAAAGCUCCCGGCUCAACUGGGGAGGGUCACGCGAUACUGAUCGACUUGAAGGCAGGAGAGGGAAGUGGAAUUCCCGGUGUAGUGGUGAAAUGCGUAGAUAUCGGGAGGAACACCAGUGGCGAAGGCGACUUCCUGGCCUGUUCUUGACGCUGAGGCGCGAAAGCUAGGGGAGCAAACGGG